AGUGAACGCUGGCGGUAGGCCUAACACAUGCAAGUCGAACGGCAGCACACUAAGAGCUUGCUCUUACGGGUGGCGAGUGGCGGACGGGUGAGGAAUACAUCGGAACCUACUUUUUCGUGGGGGAUAACGUAGGGAAACUUACGCUAAUACCGCAUACGACCUACGGGUGAAAGCAGGGGAUCUUUGGACCUUGCGCGAUUGAACGAGCCGAUGUCGGAUUAGUUAGUUGGCGGGGUAAAGGCCCACCAAGGCGACGAUCCGUAGCUGGUCUGAGAGGAUGAUCAGCCGCACUGGAACUGAGACAGGGUCCAGGCUCCUGCGGGAGGCAGCAGUGGGGAAUAUUGGGCAAUGGGCGCAAACCUGAUCCAACCAUACCGCGUGGGUGAAGAAGGCCUUCGGGUUGUGAAGCCCGUUUGUUGGGUAAGAAAAGCAGCAGGUUAGUACCCAGCUGUGUUGACGGUACCCGAAGAAUAAGCACCGGCUAACUUCGUG
rnacentral:rRNA from 1 species